CCUACGGGAGGCAGCAGUGGGGAAUUUUGGACAAUGGGCGCAAGCCUGAUCCAGCCAUGCCGCGUGCGGGAAGAAGGCCUUCGGGUUGUAAACCGCUUUUGUCAGGGAAGAAACGCUUCGAGCUAAUACCUUGGAGUAAUGACGGUACCUGAAGAAUAAGCACCGGCUAACUACGUGCCAGCAGCCGCGGUAAUACGUAGGGUGCAAGCGUUAAUCGGAAUUACUGGGCGUAAAGCGUGCGCAGGCGGUUGUGCAAGACAGAUGUGAAAUCCCCGGGCUUAACCUGGGAACUGCAUUUGUGACUGCACGGCUGGAGUGCGGCAGAGGGGGAUGGAAUUCCGCGUGUAGCAGUGAAAUGCGUAGAUAUGCGGAGGAACACCGAUGGCGAAGGCAAUCCCCUGGGCCUGCACUGACGCUCAUGCACGAAAGCGUGGGGAGCAAACAGGAUUAGAUACCCUGGUAGUCCACGCCCUAAACUAUGUCAACUGGUUGUUGGGAAGGUUCCUUCUCAGUAACGUAGCUAACGCGUGAAGUUGACCGCCUGGGGAGUACGGCCGCAAGGUUGAAAACUCAAAAGGAAUUGACG
rnacentral:rRNA from 1 species